AUGGAUAGGACUGCGAUCCUCGGCGACACCAUAGACUACGUGAAGGAGCUAACGGAGCGGAUCAAAACCCUCGAGGACGAGACCGGAGCCACGCCGGAAGAGCUGAACCUGCUGAGCACCACAAAGAGCUUCUCCAGCAGUAGCAACGAUGAGGAGAUGCCGAUGAGGAAUUCCACCAAGUUUGUCGUGGAGAAGCAGGGCAAUGGCGGCAACACGAGGAUCGAGAUCUGCUGCACGACGAGCCCCGGCGCGCUGAUCUCGACGGUGAGCGCGCUGGAUGUGCUAGGGUUGGAGAUCGAGCAGUGCGCCAUCAGCUGCUUCGGUGACAUCGCCAUGCAGGCAUCCUGCUCACAGGAGGAAGGGAGGAACCGAGUGACAUGCACCGACGAGAUCAAGCAGGCAAUGUUCACGAGUGCAGGCUAUGGAGGAAGGUGUCUCUAG
rnacentral:rRNA from 1 species